AACGAACGCUGGCGGCAGGCCUAACACAUGCAAGUCGAACGCUCGUAGCAAUACGGGAGUGGCAGACGGGUGAGUAACACGUGGGAACCUUCCCUAUGGUUCGGAAUAGCUCAGGGAAACUUGGGGUAAUACCGGAUAAGCCCUUCGGGGAAGGAUUUAUCGCCAUUGGAUGGGCCCGCGUCGGAUUAGCUAGUUGGUGAGGUAACGGCUCACCAAGGCAACGAUCCGUAGCUGGUCUGAGAGGAUGAUCAGCCACACUGGGACUGAGACACGGCCCAGACUCCUACGGGAGGCAGCAGUGGGGAAGUAUUGGACAAUGGGCGGCAAGCCUGAUCCAGCCAUGCCGCGUGAGUGACGAAGGUACUUCGGAUU
rnacentral:rRNA from 1 species